AUAACCAAAAUAAGUCCCCACUUAGUAUAAUGAAGAUCAAACUAUCAUUAUAAGACAGUUUGGAAAAAUUCUUAGGAAGAAGAAUUGUCAAGUAGAGAGUUUUAGUUGGCAAAGAACUGGUCUUCUUUUACUUGUCUCUUGUCUUGUAGCAGAAGAUUACUCCACAGUCAUCAGAUAAAUACCAGCUCAUCCUCACUUAGGAGAACCUUGGCUAGGAUCUUGUUAGAGUGCCAGUCUUGCUUUCUUUCUGGGACAGUUUUAGGCUGGGGGGGUCAGCAACAUUGUCUUAAAGGGCUAACACUAGAUAUUUAGGCUUUGUGGGCCAUGUGAUUUCUGUCCUAACUACUCAGCUGUGUGUUGUAGCACGAAAACAGCCAAGACAUAGACAAUAUGUAAAAGAAUGAGCAUGGCUGUGUUCUAGUAACACUUUAUCUAUGGAUAUUGAAAUUUUAAUUCCACAUAAUUUUCAUGUGUCACGAAAUAUUCUUUUUCUUUGGAUUUUUUCCUACCCAUUUAAUCAAAGCCAUUCUUAGGUCACAGGCAGUGAGCUGGCUUCGGCCCAUGGCUGGGAGUCUACCCACACCUGGACGAGGCUGUCACCACCUCGAAGGAAGGAUUACCUGUAAGAUGUAAAACAUCAUCCCUGGGCAGCACGGGGCACACAGAAGACAGUACAUAGAUGCUUACUUUUCAUCGAGUCUGGAUGUUCCUGAAAUCAACAGGAGGCAAAGAACUUUAGCUCGCUUGUAGCAAUAACCACUGUGCAUAGAAACACACAGGCGCCACUGUCUCUCGUGGAGGAAGGAUGUUGGUCGAGGGUCUGUUCCAGAUGCUAAAGACAGGCGCUGGCAGAAACAUUUCCUUAGAUCCUUAAGUGAAGCUGCUAGCCUGCGAAGUUUCCACCAGAUGGCACCAAAACACUAUAUUCCAAGCACUAAGCCGUCACCGCGCCUUCAGGAGAAAGAGCCGGAACCUUCCGCUCCUCUGAGAUGAUCAAGCACAGGCCCAGGGGCAAGUACAACAGAAAUUAAAACUCCCGCUCCCACCUCCCAGAAUGUGUGGUGUUGGAUUUUUAUCGGGAGAGAGAGAAAGGGAGGGAGAGAGAUAGAGAGAAAGAAACAAACUUUCUCAGGAAAAGGUCUUUAUUUUUUUAUAUUUUUCCUUCUUUAGAAUCUGGCCUAAAU